UACGUAGGGUCCGAGCGUUGUCCGGAAUUACUGGGCGUAAAGCGCGCGCAGGCGGCCCGCGAGGUGUCACGUGAAAGCCCCGGGCUCAACCCGGGAGGGUCGUGGCAAACCGGCGGGCUUGAGGCCGGUAGAGGUGGGUGGAACUCCUGGUGGAGUGGUGAAAUGCGUAGAGAUCUGGAAGAACACCAAAGGCGAAGGCAGCAUCCUGGGAAGUUCCUGACGCUCGGGUGCGAAAGCCAGGGGAGCGAACGGG
rnacentral:rRNA from 1 species